AGUGAACGCUGGCGGUAGGCCUAACACAUGCAAGUCGAACGGCAGCACAGUAAGAGCUUGCUCUUACGGGUGGCGAGUGGCGGACGGGUGAGGAAUACAUCGGAAUCUACUUUUUCGUGGGGGAUAACGUAGGGAAACUUACGCUAAUACCUCAUACGACCUACGGCUGAAAGCAGGGGAUCUUCGGACCUUGCGCGAUUGAAUGAGCCGAUGUCGGAUUAGCUAGUUGGCGGGGUAAAGGCCCACCAAGGCGACGAUCCGUAGCUGGUCUGAGAGGAUGAUCAGCCACACUGGAACUGAGACACGGUCCAGACUCCUACGGGAGGCAGCAGUGGGGAAUAUUGCACAAUGGGCGCAAGCCUGAUGCAGCCAUACCGCGUGGGUGAAGAAGGCCUUCGGGUUGUAAAGCCCUUUUGUUGGGAAAGAAAAGAAGCAGGUUAAUACCCCGAUGUUCUGACGGUACCCAAAGAAUAAGCACCGGCUAACUUCGUG
rnacentral:rRNA from 1 species